AAAUAAAUGAUUCCAUUUAUCAUAAUUCUCAGAUAUUAGCUUUUCAAUAAUUUGUCUUCCUCUCAUAGGAAAACUUUUGACAGUAUCUGUGUCUAAGCAAAAAAGACGUAUUACUCUUUUAUCAGUGACCUUAAAAUUGGCUUAUCUUCUCAUAUUGAAGAUUCUAAAUAUGAGUUCUAGGUAUUAUAUUAUUAUAUCAAACAUGAACAUCAGUUCAUAAUUUAUAACGCUAAAAGGCACAAGGCAUAGAUGUUCACUGAUAGGCCAAAGGGUAGCUUUCAUGUCAUAUUACCUUAAAAGCAGAUCUGUAUAUUGAAGAUUAGUUUUCCAUUUAUGUAUUUUCAUUUACACAGCAGUGCUUCUCAAACUUUAAUGUGCAUAAGAGUCACUACGGGAUAUGUUAAAAUGCAGAUGCUGAUUCACGAGGUCUGGGGUAGAGCCCACGCACAAUUCUGCAUGUCUGACAAGCUCCCGGGUGCCAUUUACGCUGCUGGUCUCUAGGCACUUUGACUAGCAAGGUAUCUGAGAAGCGAAUAUGAGCCUUGCUCUCGGCUUCCCCUGAUGAUAUGGCAGCUACUGUGGCUAACUCCUUCCCAUGCUUAAAUUCGACUGCCCUGCCCUUCUCUGUUUCUCUCUCUCCUUCCCAGUGUCCAUCCCCAAAGCGAACACAAUACUGAAUGACUAUCCUCUGAGGAACUAAGAGCCUUUAAUCCCACCCUGAAUUCAGCUGGCAUCUCCUCGAUCUGAAGCUGUCCCUGCCACACCCUGCAUCGCCACCCAGGCCUCCUCCCCCAGAGAGGGGAAAAGGAGGCGUCUAGUCCUGGGUCACAGGGGGCCCCGGCGUCCUUCAGAACAGAAGGACAAUACCCUGAGUGGAGUGAGAAUGGCUCUUUAAAGCUUGAACAUCACAACCAUCACUGCCAUUUACUUCCACAAACCCCCAGAUGCCUGCUCCCAUCAGCUCAGGGGUGGUGUAGCUCAUCUGUCUUGGUGGAUGCACAGCUGGGAGGAGAAGUAACUGGGACACAGUGGUCUGAAAACCGCGGUUAGUUCUGAGGAAAAUCAAUGAUUGUGGCAGUAUACAAACCUUUGACAUCAGCAGAAUCUAAACGCUUGGGCCUCUGAUUUGAUUCAGGAGUUUCCUUU